rnacentral:tRNA from 2 species
GACUCUAUGGCCCAAUGGAUAAGGCGCUGGUCUACGGAAUCAGAGAUUCCAGGUUCGGUCCCUGGUGGGGUCG